AUUUGCUUUCCCCUCUCUCUAGCCGAAGUUCAGAGCGAGCGUGAUCCCGCCAAAUCCGAAGUCCUAGGACGUGUUCUGCUGUGACUAAGACAACAAGCAUGCGUGUGACCAGUCGAGGUGCGGCCAUACACCUGCUUAAUGUGGACGACGGGAAGGCUCGAGACAUCGACCGUGCGACUGAUAGUUCAGCUAUGGGACUGGAGAGAGCAGAGGAUGCGAGACGAUAUGAUGCGAGCGUUGGAGGCCUUGGAGGGCACGCGGCCUAUGAGUCGGGUAUUGAGUGGGAUAAUUGAGUCUGUACUUGGGGGUGAGCUGAGUUUGUCUAUAGGGUUCGAACCUAACCUAGAGACCUUCUUGUUGUGUUGGCUCGGGGGCGGUCGAACACUAGUUUAAUCACUAUGUUUUAAAUUUGAAAGGAUCAUU